rnacentral:rRNA from 1 species
UACGUAGGGAGCAAGCGUUGUUCGGAUUUACUGGGCGUAAAGGGCGCGUAGGCGGCAUGACAAGUCACUUGUGAAAUCUCUGGGCUUAACCCAGAACGGCCAAGUGAUACUGUCGCGCUAGAGUGCAGAAGGGGCAAUCGGAAUUCUUGGUGUAGCGGUGAAAUGCGUAGAUAUCAAGAGGAACACCUGAGGUGAAGACGGGUUGCUGGGCCGACACUGACGCUGAAGCGCGAAAGCCAGGGGAGCAAACGGG